GGACAGGAGAAGGGUCGCGGGCCAGAGGAAGGGAACCCAGAGAUGGGGGAGGGAGGGCAGUUAGCAAGGAUUAGGUGUGGCAUGCACCUGCACCGGCGCCCUGGAGAGGUGUGGUCAUCAUGCACUGCCAGCAGCUUGAGUUUCCUGAAGCCUUGUGGAAGGGCUCUGCUGCAAAGAGGGAACACUGUCAUCAUUCUCCCCUGCUUCUGUCCAGCUGGCUGGACACAGGCCCUCAACAGCCUCUCCAUGUCAUGCUGGACCAUGAACCGACCCUGUGGUUGGAAGGCAUAGGCUGAGAUGGUGGAAAGAAAAAGAGCAAGAGCCUAAACCCCUGAUUCCAAGCUAACACUCCAAUCCUGUAUUUUUAUACCUUCAAAUUUCUUUUACAUAAGAGGAAAACUUCCAUCUUGGUUAGGCUGCUAUUGUUUUAGGUUUUCUAAUACUAUCCAGCUGAGCCCAAGGCUGGUGAUCUGGUAAUCAGUAAACUGUAUUUGUCACGGUGCUCCCUUCUCCACUCAUGUCCUCCAGCCAAAGACCAUCAGGAGCACAGCUGAAAAGGCCUGCAACCUCCUGUGUCUCUCAGGAGUACAUGAGGACAGGCAUGUGGGGUUGGCGCCUGUCGCAGAUGACUGGGGAAGGCUUAAAGGAG
rnacentral:lncRNA from 1 species